rnacentral:rRNA from 1 species
AGAGUUUGAUCCUGGCUCAGGACGAACGCUGGCGGCGUGCUUAACACAUGCAAGUCGAACGAAGAGCGAUGGAAGCUUGCUUCUAUCAAUCUUAGUGGCGAACGGGUGAGUAACGCGUAAUCAACCUGCCCUUCAGAGGGGGACAACAGUUGGAAACGACUGCUAAUACCGCAUACGAUCUAAUCUCGGCAUCGAGGAUAGAUGAAAGGUGGCCUCUACAUGUAAGCUAUCACUGAAGGAGGGGAUUGCGUCUGAUUAGCUAGUUGGAGGGGUAACGGCCCACCAAGGCGAUGAUCAGUAGCCGGUCUGAGAGGAUGAACGGCCACAUUGGGACUGAGACACGGCCCAGACUCCUACGGGAGGCAGCAGUGGGGAAUCUUCCGCAAUGGACGAAAGUCUGACGGAGCAACGCCGCGUGAGCGAUGACGGCCUUCGGGUUGUAAAGCUCUGUUAAUCGGGACGAAAGGCCUUCUUGCGAAUAGUGAGAAGGAUUGACGGUACCGGAAUAGAAAGCCACGGCUAACUACGUGCCAGCAGCCGCGGUAAUACGUAGGUGGCAAGCGUUGUCCGGAAUUAUUGGGCGUAAAGCGCGCGCAGGCGGAUAGGUCAGUCUGUCUUAAAAGUUCGGGGCUUAACCCCGUGAUGGGAUGGAAACUGCCAAUCUAGAGUAUCGGAGAGGAAAGUGGAAUUCCUAGUGUAGCGGUGAAAUGCGUAGAUAUUAGGAAGAACACCAGUGGCGAAGGCGACUUUCUGGACGAAAACUGACGCUGAGGCGCGAAAGCCAGGGGAGCGAACGAGAUUAGAUACCCCGGUAGUCCUGGCCGUA